rnacentral:rRNA from 1 species
CCCUACGGGGUGUAAUUUUUGUUCAUCCACUAUGUUGUUAGAUGAUGCUGUAGGCAAGAAGCAAAGAGCGUUGACUCUUUCGGCUGAGGACAUUAUGAUGCUAGUUAAGUCGGCGCGAAAUGCUCAUUCCGGCGCCCGAGCUUUUUAUUUUAAUGAUGAUAAUUUUAUGCUUUGCAAGCGGCGGAUAGAAAAAUUAUGUGAUUUAAUGGUUAGUGAUCCAGCUAAUUGUAAUUUUUCCUAUUUUUGUCUGUCUAGAGUUGAUAAUGUAGACUCUGAAAUUUUGAGAAAAAUGAAAAAGGCCGGUUUUGAAAUGAUUACUUAUGGAGUAGAAUCUUUCUCAGAGGAUGUACUUAUGGCUAUGGGGAAAAGAGUACAGGUGGCGGGAGGGC